rnacentral:lncRNA from 1 species
AAUAAAAGCAAAAUUUGACAAAAUAUUUUUGCAAUUCAGAUAAAUUCAACCGUCAUAUAACGCAAUUAAGAGUUCCAAUUAAAGGAAAAGGAAUUGAAGAGAGAGAGUUAUACAGAAAAUGAUAGGGUUAGGAACGAAGGGAGACGGAGAGAGAACCCGGUGAUUGCGUGUUUGGACUUGGAUCGGAUUUUGAUACUGCGUUUCGGAUUGGGUUGGUUAGGUUCCCA